rnacentral:rRNA from 1 species
GUGUCAGCAGCCGCGGUAAUACGGAGGAUGCGAGCGUUGUUCGGAAUCACUGGGCUUGAAGCGCGUGUAGGCGGCCUAGCCAGUACCUUGUGAAAUCCCUUGGCUCAACCGAGGAAUUGCUGGGUAUACUGCUGGGCUUGAGGCGGUUAGGGGUGCCUGGAACUCUAGGUGGAGCGGUGAAAUGCGUAGAUAUCUAGAGGAACGCCUGAGGCGAAAGCGGGGCACUGGGACCGAUCUGACGCUGAGACGCGAAAGCGUAGGGAGCGAACGGGAUUAGAUACCCCGGUAGUCUACGCCGUAAACGAUGCGCACUAGGCUUUUUGACCUCUGACGGUCGGAGAGCCGAAAGAAAACCGAUAAGUGCGCCGCCUGGGGAGUACGGCCGCAAGGCUAAAACUCAAAGGAAUUGACGGGGGCUCACACAAGCGGUGGAGGAUGUGGCUUAAUUCGAGGCAACGCGAAGAACCUUACCCGGGUUUGACAUGCAUGGAUUAGCCCUCUGGAAACAGGGGUGACGCGGCUUGCCGUGGAACAUGCACAGGUGCUGCAUGGCUGUCGUCAGCUCGUGUCGUGAGAUGUCGGGUUAAGUCCCUGAACGAGCGAAACCCUUGUCGUUAGUUGCCAGCGCGUGAUGGCGGGCACUUUAGCGAGACUGCCGGUGUUAAGCCGGAGGAAGGUGGGGAUGACGUCAAGUCCUCAUGGCCUUUAUGUCCGGGGUUGCACACGUCCUACAAUGGGAAGGUACAGAGCGACGCAAGACCGCGAGGUGGAGCAAAUCGCAGAAAACUUCCCCCAGUUCGGAUUGCAGUCUGCAACUCGACUGCAUGAAGUUGGAAUCGCUAGUAAUCGCGUAUCAGCUAUGACGCGGUGAAUAUGUUCCUGAGCCUUGCACACACCGCCCGUC